GCCCAGGUGGCGGAACUGGCAGACGCACCAGCUUGAGGUGCUGGCGGGAGCAAUCCCUUGGAGGUUCGAGUCCUCUUCUGGGCA
rnacentral:tRNA from 1 species